CCUACGGGUGGCAGCAGUGGGGAAUAUUGCACAAUGGGCGCAAGCCUGAUGCAGCCAUGCCGCGUGUGUGAAGAAGGCCUUCGGGUUGUAAAGCACUUUCAGCGGGGAGGAAGGCGUUAAGGUUAAUAACCUUGGCGAUUGACGUUACCCGCAGAAGAAGCACCGGCUAACUCCGUGCCAGCAGCCGCGGUAAUACGGAGGGUGCAAGCGUUAAUCGGAAUUACUGGGCGUAAAGCGCACGCAGGCGGUCUGUCAAGUCGGAUGUGAAAUCCCCGGGCUCAACCUGGGAACUGCAUUCGAAACUGGCAGGCUAGAGUCUUGUAGAGGGGGGUAGAAUUCCAGGUGUAGCGGUGAAAUGCGUAGAGAUCAGGAGGAACACCGAUGGCGAAGGCAGCCCCCUGGGCCUGUACUGACGCUCAUGCACGAAAGCGUGGGGAGCAAACAGGAUUAGAUACCCCAGUAGUC
rnacentral:rRNA from 1 species